AGGGGUGGGAAGAAGGUGGUACUGGAUGAGGGGAAGAUUGAGGGAGGUUAGGGGGAGGAGCCGAAGCGGACGCUGCCGGGAGCGUGCGUCGUGACGUCAUCAAAAGAACUCUUAUAUACAGGAGCCCAGGCACCAUACUGUCUUUUCGAGGUAGGAGUCGAGUACUGUAAGGUAUGGUGCUGGGUGCAGAUGCAGUGUGGCUCUGGAUAGCACCUUAUGGACAGUUGUGUCCCCAAGGAAGGAUGAGAAUAGCUACUGAAGUCCUAAACAGCAAGCCUAACUCAAGCCAUUGGCACACAGGCAUUAGACAGAAAGCUGGAAGUUGAAAUGGUGGAGUCCAACUUGCCUGGACCAGCUUAAUGGUUCUGCUCCUGGUAACGUUUUUAUCCAUGGAUGACUUGCUUGGGUAAGGACAUGAAGACAGUUCCUGUCAUACCUUUUAAAGGUAUGGAGAGUCGGCUUGACUACACUGUGUGGAGCAACUUUUAAAGAAGCAAAGGACUCAGAAUUCAUGAUUGAAGAAAUGCAGGCAGACCUGUUAUCCUAAACUAGGGUUUUUAACGACCACAACAAGCAAGCAUGCAGCUUACUGCUUGAAAGGGUCUUGCCUCACCCAAGCUGGAGUGCAGUGGCCUUUGAAGCUUACUACAGCCUCAAACUUCUGGGCUCAAGUGAUCCUCAGCCUCCCAGUGGUCUUUGUAGACUGCCUGAUGGAGUCUCAUGGCACAAGAAGAUUAAAACAAUGUCUCCAAUUUUAAUAAAUUUUUGCAAUCCA